rnacentral:rRNA from 1 species
GCGUGUGUGAUGAAGGCCUUAGGGUUGUAAAGCACUUUCGCCGAUGAAGAUAAUGACUGUAGUCGGAGAAGAAGCCCCGGCUAACUUCGUGCCAGCAGCCGCGGUAAUACGAAGGGGGCUAGCGUUGUUCGGAAUUACUGGGCGUAAAGCGUACGUAGGCGGAUUGUUAAGUGAGGGGUGAAAUCCCGAGGCUCAACCUCGGAACUGCCUUUCAUACUGGCAAUCUUGAGUCCGGGAGAGGUGAGUGGAACUCCUAGUGUAGAGGUGAAAUUCGU